rnacentral:rRNA from 1 species
UACAGAGGUCUCAAGCGUUUGUUCGGAUUCAUUGGGGCGUAAAAGGGGUGCGUAGGCGGCGCCGUAAGUCAGGUGUGAAAUUUCGGAGCUUAACUCCGAAACUGCAUUUGAUACUGCGGUGCUUGAGGACUGGGAGAGGAGACUGGGAAUUUACGGUGUAGCAGUGAAAUGCGUAGAGAUCGUAAGGAAGACCAGUGGCGAAGGCGGGGUCUC